UGGGAAUCCUGCAAGCUGGGCACUGAUUAUUGUUCUUCAACCAGACUUCAAUACAAAUGGAACAGAAGACAUGGUUGUUGACACAGAUAACUGGGUGACGGACCUUCCCCAGGCAGAUGUGGCAGGUGAUGGGCAGCGUGAGGGACAGCGUGACGCUCGGGCCGUGCUGCGCCAUCGCCGCGCCGCCUGCACGGAAGUCACGGAAGAGCGAGCGA
rnacentral:lncRNA from 1 species